rnacentral:rRNA from 1 species
AGAGUUUGAUCAUGGCUCAGGAUGAACGCUAGCGGCAGGCUUAACACAUGCAAGUCGAGGGGUAUAAGUCUUCGGAUUUAGAGACCGGCGCACGGGUGCGUAACGCGUAUGCAAUCUACCUUUUACAGAGGGAUAGCCCAGAGAAAUUUGGAUUAAUACCUCAUAGUAUUAUGAAAUGGCAUCAUUUUAUAAUUAAAGUCACAACGGUAAAAGAUGAGCAUGCGUCCCAUUAGCUUGUUGGUAAGGUAACGGCUUACCAAGGCUACGAUGGAUAGGGGUCCUGAGAGGGAGAUCCCCCACACUGGUACUGAGACACGGACCAGACUCCUACGGGAGGCAGCAGUGAGGAAUAUUGGUCAAUGGACGCAAGUCUGAACCAGCCAUGCCGCGUGCAGGAUGACGGUCCUAUGGAUUGUAAACUGCUUUUGCACAGGAAGAAACAACUCUACGUGUAGAGUCUUGACGGUACUGUGAGAAUAAGGAUCGGCUAACUCCGUGCCAGCAGCCGCGGUAAUACGGAGGAUCCAAGCGUUAUCCGGAAUCAUUGGGUUUAAAGGGUCCGCAGGCGGUUUAGUAAGUCAGUGGUGAAAGCCCAUCGCUCAACGGUGGAACGGCCAUUGAUACUGCUAAACUUGAAUUAUUGGGAAGUAACUAGAAUAUGUAGUGUAGCGGUGAAAUGCUUAGAGAUUACAUGGAAUACCAAUUGCGAAGGCAGGUUACUACCAAUAUAUUGACGCUGAUGGACGAAAGCGUGGGGAGCGAACAGGAUUAGAUACCCUAGUAGUCC